GGGAGGCAGCAGUGGGGAAUAUUGCACAAUGGGGGAAACCCUGAUGCAGCGACGCCGCGUGAGCGAAGAAGUAUUUCGGUAUGUAAAGCUCUAUCAGCAGGGAAGAAAUGACGGUACCUGACUAAGAAGCACCGGCAAAUACGUGCCAGCAGCCGCGGUAAUACGUAUGGUGCAAGCGUUAUCCGGAUUUACUGGGUGUAAAGGGAGCGCAGGCGGUACGGCAAGUCUGAUGUGAAAUCCCGGGGCUCAACCCCGGUACUGCAUUGGAAACUGUCGGACUAGAGUGUCGGAGGGGUAAGUGGAAUUCCUAGUGUAGCGGUGAAAUGCGUAGAUAUUAGGAGGAACACCAGUGGCGAAGGCGGCUUACUGGAC
rnacentral:rRNA from 1 species